rnacentral:snRNA from 1 species
GUGCUCGCUUUGGCAGCACAUAUACUAAAAUUGGAACAAAUACAGAGAUGAUGAGCAUGCCCUGUGCACAAGGAUGACACACAAAUUCAUGAAGUUUUCCAUAUUUUU